rnacentral:rRNA from 1 species
CACACCGCCCGUCACAUCACGAAAGUGGGUUGUACUAGAAGUCUGCAGGCUGACCCGCAAGGGGGACGACGCCCACGGAGUGGUUCAUGACUGGGUG